rnacentral:tRNA from 4 species
UGGGGCGUGGCCGAGUGGUAAGGCAACGGGUUUUGGUCCCGCUAUUCGGAGGUUCGAAUCCUUCCGUCCCAG